rnacentral:pre_miRNA from 1 species
CAAGUACUCCCUCCGUCCGAAAUUACUUGUCAUCAAAAUGGAUGUGUCUAGAACUAAAAUACAUCUAGAUACAUCCAUUUCAAUGACAAGUAUUUUCGAACGGAGGGAGUACAAG